GGCUCCAUAGUGUAGUGGUUAGCAUGUCUGCUUUACACGCAGAAGGUGCUGGGUUCAUGCACCAAGUGGAGCCA
rfam:Pteropus alecto contig162795, whole genome shotgun sequence.